CCUACGGGAGGCAGCAGUGGGGAAUAUUGCGCAAUGGGCGAAAGCCUGACGCAGCGACGCCGCGUGAGGGAUGAAGGUCUUCGGAUCGUAAACCUCUGUCAGCAGGGAAGAAAAGUCACUGUGCUAAUCAGCAGUGAAUUGACGGUACCUGCAAAGGAAGCACCGGCUAACUCCGUGCCAGCAGCCGCGGUAAUACGGAGGGUGCGAGCUUGAAUCGGAUUUACUGGGCGUAAAGCGCUCGUAGGCGGUAUGUCAAGUCAAGGGGGAAAUCCCCGCGCUCAACGUGGGAACUGCCUUUGAAACUGGCAAACUGGAGUGUGUGAGAGGAUAGUGGAAUUCCAGGUGUAGGAGUGAAAUCCGUAGAUAUCUGGAGGAACAUCAGUGGCGAAGGCGACUAUCUGGCACAUAACUGACGCUGAGGAGCGAAAGCGUGGGUAGCAAACAGGAUUAGAUACCCGAGUAGUC
rnacentral:rRNA from 1 species